AAGAACGGACCUCCGGAACGAAUUAAGUUCUUAACCAGAGGUACCACUGUAUCAGACUUUUAGAAGACAUCUGAAGGCAGCCCUGUUUAGGGAAGUUUUUGAUGUUUGAUGUUUUAUCGUGUUUUUAAUACAGUGGUACCUUGGGUUAAGUACUUAAUUUGUUCCGGAG